rnacentral:rRNA from 1 species
GACGAACCGUGCGAACGUUGUUCGGAAUCACUGGGCUUAAAGGGUGCGUAGGCGGGUCCGUCAGUCAGGGGUGAAAUCCCACGGCCCAACCGUGGAAGUGCCUCUGAUACUGCGGGGCCUAGAGGGGGAUAGGGGCGUGCGGAACUUCCGGUGGAGCGGUGAAAUGCGUAGAUAUCGGAAGGAACACCGGUGGCGAAAAGCGGCGCGCUGGGCCUAAACUGACGCUGAGGGGGCGAAAAGCGUGGGGGAGCAAAACAGG